rnacentral:rRNA from 1 species
GACGUAGGGCGCGAGCGUUGUCCGGAUUAUUGGGCGUAAAGAGCUCGUAGGCGGCUUGUCGCGUCGUCCGUGAAAACCUGCGGCUCAACUGCAGGCUGGCGGUCGAUACGGGCAGGCUGGAGUUCGGUAGGGGAGACUGGAAUUCCUGGUGUAGCGGUGAAAUGCGCAGAUAUCAGGAGGAACACCCGGUGGCGAAGGCGG